AGGGACAGGGAACCUUAAUGAAAUAGACCAGUCCUUACCCAACACAGAGGGGCUAGGGAACCUUAAUUAAAUAGCCCUGUCUUUAGCCAACACAGAGGGGCCAGGGAACCUUAAAUAGCCCUUGUGAUGAGGCGUUUUGUAUGGCUGGUGAUGAGGCGUUUUGUAUGGCUGGUGAUGAGGCGUUUUGUAUGGCUGGUGAUGAGGCGUUUUGUAUGGCUGGUGAUGAGGUGUUUUGUAUGGCUGGUGAUGAGGCGUUUUGUAUGGCUGGUGAUGAGGCGUUUUGUAUGGCUGGUGAUGAGGUGUUUUGUAUGGCUGGUGAUGAGGUGUUUUGUAUGGCUGGUGAUGAGGUGUUUUGUAUGGCUGGUGAUGAGGCGUUUUGUAUGGCUGGUGAUGAGGCGUUUUGUAUGGCUGGUGAUGAGGCGUUUUGUAUGGCUGGUGAUGAGGCGUUUUGCUCAGAAAAGCAACAAGGAAAGGAAACAGGACAUCAGCUCCACAACAGGAUGUUUGGCCCGUAUGGCAACAUUUAUUAGAGUAAAAAUGGUUGACAACACAUGACCAUGUUUUACAUUUGUAGAAACUUAAUUGAAAAUGUCCUUGAACAGAGAGAAAACAUCCUCAGAUGAGUUGUCAGUCCUAGAAGACAGCGUCCCUUGGUGCUGGGUGAGUAUGUAUGCUGACAGUUGGAGCCAUGGAUGUGGAGCGGGUCAGCGGUUCUGUGUGCGUCUCAGGCCCUGCUAUCGUUGUUCAUCUCAGGAACAGGGCUGGCUACUACUCCCUCACACACCAGGGAGUCAGCGGUUCUGUGUGUGUCUCAGGCCCUGCUAUCGUUGUUCAUCUCAGGAACAGGGCUGGCUACUGCUCCCUCACACACCAGGGAGUCAGCGGUUCUGUGUGUGUCUCAGGCCCUGCUAUCGUUGUUCAUCUCAGGAACAGGGCUGGCUACU
ensembl:lncRNA